UUUAUACUAAGUCCACCUAAAAACUUUGGAGUUGCACACUAGUUAAAAAAUGGAAUCAUGGAUAUGGUGGUUCCUUCUGUGCUGGCAUUUGCUGAUCCUUUACUUUUCACCCUCUCAUUCCUUAUGCCACCCCCAUGACAGCUUUGCCUUGCUUCAGUUCAAGAACUCCUUCACUAUUAAGACUAGUUAUCACAAUUAUUAUUGUCAUCCUGGUUAUUCAAAGACCACAACAUGGGAAAAUGGGACAGAUUGUUGCUCUUGGCCUGGAGUCACCUGCCGCCAUAUCUCCGGUCACGUGACUGAGCUCGACCUCACCUGCAGUGGGCUUACCGGCAAAAUCCAUCCAAACAGUAUGCUUUUCCAUCUUUCUCAUCUUCAAUCACUCAACCUUGCUUUCAAUGAUUUCAAUCAACCUCAACUGUCAUCUCUCUUUGUUGGGUUUCUGAGCCUCACACAUCUCAACUUGUCUGGUUCUAACUUUGAAGGAGGAACACAAACAAAUUGUUGCAAACUGAAGGAGUGAAAUAGACCUUACAUGGUUGAAGUGAAUAACAUGGUUUGGUCCUGCACCUCCAAAGUUAUGGGGUUGAACUAAGAUUUCCUAUGAAUUUUUAGAAGAUCUGACCUUAGUCUCACUAAGCUUGCUGGUGGGAACUUUAACUUAUAUGGAGCAAGCUGAUUUCUUUUGGUUGAGGUCACUGAUUUUGUGAUAGCAAACAAGUUUUCCCAGUUAGAUCACUGUCACCAUCUUGGAACCAUAGCUGUAAAAUGUCUAGUUACCCAUAAACUAGUGCAGCUAUUGUUCCUGGUGGAGGCCAAGGGUGCAGAAUGUUAGGAACAUAAGCUGGAAGUGAAAGGUUACUACUUACUGGUAGAGCUACUCGUAUUUCUCAGGAGCACCUCCCUGACAAAUCUAGCCUCCAAGGUUGGAUGUCUUAUUUGCUAUUUAUUUCACCUCUAGGAUGCAGAUUAGUACCUUUCAUCUUUCCAACUUUUGUAAGCAAAGUAUAUCCAACCAAGGAUUAAAAGAUUUAAAAGUAUGUAUCUUUCUUUGCACUACCAUUAGUGACAUUAGUGAUAUGUACUGUUAUAAACACAUUGAAUAAUGAAUAUAGAUAGAGCACUUCAUCAAGGAUUUUAUAAAGAAAAUUUUGCAUAUGAUGGUUUAUACCCUUAUAUUUUUAAUAGAAUUUGUAUGUUUUCUUCUAAUGAAAUUAAAGUUCAUUAGGUCUGUAUUCGUUGUACUGGAUAAUCAUAAUGAUAUUUUCCAUCAAAGGAAAAGCGAGAGAAUCAAGAUGCCUGUCUAUGACUAAUUGAACUAAAGAACUCCAUGAAAGGGCAUCUUUUUUUUUCUAAAUACAGUGAAGGAAACUGAUGUUUGGACAACUUUAUAUGGAGUUUCUGUAAAAUUUAAGCUGUUUGGAAAAAGUUGGGCUAAUUGUUAUGCAGUAGCUUUAACCAGAAGACUGCGAAAAAAUAUUCAAGGAAUUUCAUUAUAUAAUUUUAGUGAACCAUGAGAAUGAUAAACCAUGAGAAAUGCUCCAAGGCAUCUUUUCAGUCUGGAGCUCUCGAGUUCUUACUGAAAUAUUAUACUUUUUACAUAUCUUGAGAAUGAUAAAGUUUUUGUUUUGUAACCUGGAGGUAGGGUUUGAAUCUUAGAAACAGUUUCUUUGCCUGUGGAGAUAAGAUUGUGUACACUUAUCCUUCCUACUUUUACGAUAAGGUUGUGUAUAUUUAUCUUCCCUAAGCUUCAAUCACUAUUCGAUAUUUUGAGCAUUUGACCCUAGUCUACAUUCUUUUGCGUUUGUUUAUCGGAAUAAAAAUAAUUUCUGUUGAUAACCUUUCUGUCAUUAGUAUGCUCCAAUCACGUUUAUCUGAAAUUGGCUAUACACCAGUUGGUAGGUAAUUGGUUGGUGGAGAUGGGAACGUUAGCAUGUACAUUAGACAGUCAAAUUUGGCAUUUUAGAAACAGAAUCUUUGAUGACAAAAAGGAAAGAAAGAGAGAAACAGCAUCUUUGAACAAUGAUGUUACUUAACUUUUUUUCUUAUCAUGAUGCUUGUGACCAUCUGGAAUAUGUGUUGGGCUUCAAUGGAAUAUAUUGGGUUGUUUAGGUUUACUUAUACAGGCAAUUGCUUCCUGCAUCUCCAAUAUUGCUUCCUACACCUUUCUAA